rnacentral:rRNA from 1 species
AGCGAACGCUGGCGGCAGGCCUAACACAUGCAAGUCGAACGGAUCCUUCGGGAUUAGUGGUGGACGGGUGAGUAACACGUGGGAACGUGCCCUUUGGUUCGGAACAACUCAGGGAAACUUGAGCUAAUACCGGAUGUGCCCUUCGGGGGAAAGAUUUAUCGCCAUUGGAGCGGCCCGCGUCUGAUUAGCUAGUUGGUGGGGUAAAGGCCCACCAAGGCGACGAUCAGUAGCUGGUCUGAGAGGAUGAUCAGCCACAUUGGGACUGAGACACGGCCCAAACUCCUACGGGAGGCAGCAGUGGGGAAUCUUGCGCAAUGGGCGAAAGCCUGACGCAGCCAUGCCGCGUGAAUGAUGAAGGUCUUAGGAUUGUAAAAUUCUUUCACCGGGGACGAUAAUGACGGUACCCGGAGAAGAAGCCCCGGCUAACUUCGUGCCAGCAGCCGCGGUAAGAC